rnacentral:misc_RNA from 1 species
GAUGAAGAACGUAGCGAAAUGCGAUAAGUAAUGUGAAUUGCAGAAUUCAGUGAAUCAUCGAAUCUUUGAACGCACAUUGCGCCCCUUGGUAUUCCGAGGGGCAUGCCUGUUCGAGCGUCAUUAUAACCCCUCAAGCUCAGCUUGGUGUUGGGGCCUGCUGCACUGGCAGCCCUUAAAAUCAGUCGCGGCGCCAUCUGGCUCUAAGCGUAGUAAUUCUUCUCGCUAUGGAGUCCUGGUGGAUGCUUGCCAUCAACCCCCAAUUUUUCUAUGGUUGACCUCGGAUCAGGUAGGGAUACCCGCUGAACUUAAGCAUAUCAAUAAGCGGAGGA